GUCCACGCUGUAAACGAUGAACACUAGAUGUCGGGAGGGGUUCCUUCCGGUGUCGUCGCUAACGCAGUAAGUGUUCCGCCUGGGGAGUACGUUCGCAAGGAUGAAACUCAAAGGAAUUGACGGGGGCCCGCACAAGCGGUGGAGCAUGUGGUUUAAUUCGAUGCAACGCGAAGAACCUUACCUGGGCUUGACAUGGGAAUGACCGCUCGAGAGAUCGAGCUUUCUCUUCGGAGACAUUCCGCACAGGUGCUGCAUGGCUGUCGU
rnacentral:rRNA from 1 species